rnacentral:rRNA from 1 species
CCCUUAGAUGUCCUGGGCCGCACGCGCGUUACACUGAUGCAUUCAACGAGCUUAUAACCUUGGCCGAGAGGCCUGGGCAAUCUUGUUAACGUGCAUCGUGAUAGGGAUAGAUUAUUGAAAUUAUUAAUCUUGAACGAGGAAUUCCUAGUAAACGCAGAUCAUCAAUCUGCAUUGAUUACGUCCCUGCCCUUUGUACACACCGCCCGUCGCACCUACCGAUUGGAUGGUCCGGUGAAUAAUUCGGACUGCAGCACUGCUUGGUCUCCAGGCUUUGCAGCGGAAAGUUUAGUGAACCUUAUCACUUAGAGGAAGGAGAAGUCGUAACA